rnacentral:rRNA from 1 species
UACGGGGGGGGCAAGCGUUGUUCGGAAUUACUGGGCGUAAAGGGCCAGUAGGCGGCCAACUAAGUCCGACGUGAAAUCCCCAGGCUUAACCUGGGAACUGCGUCGGAUACUGGAUGGCUUGAAUUCGGGAGAGGGAUGCAGAAUUCCAGGUGUAGCGGUGAAAUGCGUAGAUAUCGGGAGGAACAUCAGUGGCGCAAGCGGCGCCCUGGCCUUAGCCUGACGCUCAGGGGCGAAAGCGUGGGGAGCGAACGGG